AAGGCAUUCAGCCUCCCAAUAGGCCUUUUAGAAUGCUUGCUCUUGGAGGGCUCCCUUUUGGAACUCAGCCUCUAUAUUGUAACAAUGCCAGGCCACAUAGAGAGUCUAUGUGUAGGUGGUUUGGUUGUCAGGUCAGCUGAACACUUAGCUGAUAGCUAGCAUUAGCUGCUGGCCAGGUGCAUGAGCCAUCUUGGAUGUCCAGCCCAGGUUCAUAGAAUGGGAUGCCCACUGAUGACAAUGCCAGAUUUGAAAUCACUUGGAGUAUGGGAAGAAGAAAGAGAAAAGCACAGAUAAGUCAGG